rnacentral:tRNA from 1 species
GGGCACGUAGCUCAGAUGGAUAGAGCAGCCGCCUCCUAAGCGGCAGGUCAGCAGUUCGAAUCUGCUCGUGCCUACCA